AGAAUUGGCUGAAUAUUUAGAAGAAGAAGCGCUUAGAGAAGAAGAUAUCUUUAAACGGGCGGCGCUGAAAAAUAGUUCCAUAUUAUUUUAUUUCUACCCAAAAAAAUUUUCAAGCGGCCAAGAAGCACAUGGCCUGGUGGGCAUCUCUACUGGUAUUCGCCAGGUUAUCGAUGAUUUUUUUAACGGAGCUGAAAGGCACUCAGUUGAUGAUGAAAAAAGUCGUCCUAAUAAGAAACAGAAGACAGAGUGAUGAAAAAA